GACGAGCGCUGGCGGCGUGCCUAAUACAUGCAAGUAGAACGCUGAAGGAGGAGCUUGCUCUUCUGGAUGAGUUGCGAACGGGUGAGUAACGCGUAGGUAACCUGCCUGGUAGCGGGGGAUAACUAUUGGAAACGAUAGCUAAUACCGCAUAAGAGUAGAUGUUGCAUGACAUUUGCUUAAAAGGUGCAAUUGCAUCACUACCAGAUGGACCUGCGUUGUAUUAGCUAGUUGGUGGGGUAACGGCUCACCAAGGCGACGAUACAUAGCCGACCUGAGAGGGUGAUCGGCCACACUGGGACUGAGACACGGCCCAGACUCCUACGGGAGGCAGCAGUAGGGAAUCUUCGGCAAUGGACGGAAGUCUGACCGAGCAACGCCGCGUGAGUGAAGAAGGUUUUCGGAUCGUAAAGCUCUGUUGUAAGAGAAGAACGAGUGUGAGAGUGGAAAGUUCACACUGGACG
rnacentral:rRNA from 1 species